GGUCUGUGAUGUGUACUGUAAAAGGUCUGAUGCCUGAGUGUCCCCCAGCUUCCCUUCAGCUCCCAGAAGCCCCUGCUCUGUUCCCAGCAUGCUCUAGGUGCGUGAUGUUGGGUUCAGGGGCUUCUGACAGAUGGGAUGACCUCUCAGCCUGUGUCUCCUCGAGAAUAAGAGGUCACAGUGAUGAUGGACAUCCAACAUAGCCAAUUGCCAAGGAGUAUUUGGGUCUGGGAUGGGAACGAGCAAAUGAUCUCAAGUUUUCAAGCUGAGACC